ensembl:lncRNA novel transcript
CAGAUUUUCCCAAUUCCACAUUUUGGAAGUAUCAAGAGCUGUUUCAUGAGAUAAGCUGGCGAGAGGAAAUAGACUACUCUGGUAGGAAACUAGAGCAGGUGUACUCAAGGUAACAUUCUCCCUACUUCCUGGUCUACUAGUUCAAGAAAAACGUUUGUUUUGAGUGCCACACGGCGAACCCAUUUUAGAAGUGUUUCUAUUACUAAUAAAACAUUUGCAUAUUUGGAUA